UACAGAGGUCUCAAGCGUUGUUCGGAUUCAUUGGGCGUAAAGGGUGCGUAGGCGGCGCGGUAAGUCGGGUGUGAAAUCUUGGAGCUUAACUCCGAAACUGCAUUCGAUACUGCCGUGCUUGAGGACUGGAGAGGAGACUGGAAUUUACGGUGUAGCGGUGAAAUGCGUAGAUAUCGUAAGGAAGACCAGUGGCGAAGGCGGGUCUCUGGACAGUUCCUGACGCUGAGGACGAAGGCCAGGGGAGCAAACGGGAUU
rnacentral:rRNA from 1 species